rnacentral:rRNA from 1 species
UACGUAGGGAGCAAGCGUUAUCCGGAUUUACUGGGUGUAAAGGGCGUGUAGGCGGGCUUGCAAGUUGGAAGUGAAAUCUCGGGGCUUAACCCCGAAACUGCUUUCAAAACUGCGAGUCUUGAGUGAUGGAGAGGCAGGCGGAAUUCCCAGUGUAGCGGUGAAAUGCUUAGAUACCCUCAAGAACACCGAUUGCGUAGGCAGCUAACUAGGCCAUAACUGACGCUGAGGCACGAAAGCGUGGGGAGCGAACAGG